CCUACGGGAGGCAGCAGUGAGGAAUAUUGGUCAAUGGACGAGAGUCUGAACCAGCCAAGUAGCGUGAAGGAUGACUGCCCUAUGGGUUGUAAACUUCUUUUAUAUAGGAAUAAAACGAGGCACGUGUGCCUUUUUGUAUGUACCUUAUGAAUAAGGAUCGGCUAACUCCGUGCCAGCAGCCGCGGUAAUACGGAGGAUCCGAGCGUUAUCCGGAUUUAUUGGGUUUAAAGGGAGCGUAGAUGGGUUGUUAAGUCAGUUGUGAAAGUUUGCGGCUCAACCGUAAAAUUGCAAUUGAUACUGGCAGUCUUGAGUACAGUAGAGGUGAGCGGAAUUCGUGGUGUAGCGGUGAAAUGCUUAGAUAUCACGAAGAACCCCGAGUGCGAAGGCAGCUUACUGGACUGUAACUGACAUUGAGGCUCGAAAGUGUGGGUAUCAAACAGGAUUAGAUACCCUGGUAGUC
rnacentral:rRNA from 1 species